AGAGUUUGAUCCUGGCUCAGGACGAACGCUGGCGGCGUGCCUAAUACAUGCAAGUCGAGCGGACUAAUAGUUUCUUCGGAAACUGUUGGUUAGCGGCGGACGGGUGAGUAACACGUAGGCAACCUGCCUGUAAGAUUGGGAUAACUCACGGAAACGUGGGCUAAUACCGAAUAAGUAAUUCCCUCGCAUGAGGGGGUUAA
rnacentral:rRNA from 1 species